GAAAGGAGUGGCGAACGGGUGAGUAACACGUGGGUAACCUGCCCAUCAGAAGGGGAUAACACUUGGAAACAGGUGCUAAUACCGUAUAACAAUCGAAACCGCAUGGUUUCGGUUUGAAAGGCGCUUUUGCGUCACUGAUGGAUGGACCCGCGGUGCAUUAGCUAGUUGGUGAGGUAACGGCUCACCAAGGCAACGAUGCAUAGCCGACCUGAGAGGGUGAUCGGCCACAUUGGGACUGAGACACGGCCCAAACUCCUACGGGAGGCAGCAGUAGGGAAUCUUCGGCAAUGGACGCAAGUCUGACCGAGCAACGCCGCGUGAGUGAAGAAGGUUUUCGGAUCGUAAAACUCUGUUGUUAGAGAAGAACAAGGAUGAGAGUAGAAUGUUCAUCCCUUGACGGUAUCUAACCAGAAAGCCACGGCUAACUACGUGCCAGCAGCCGCGGUAAUACGUAGGUGGCAAGCGUUGUCCGGAUUUAUUGGGCGUAAAGCGAGCGCAGGCGGUUUCUUAAGUCUGAUGUGAAAGCCCCCGGCUCAACCGGGGAGGGUCAUUGGAAACUGGGAAACUUGAGUGCAGAAGAGGAGAGUGGAAUUCCAUGUGUAGCGGUGAAAUGCGUAGAUAUAUGGAGGAACACCAGUGGCGAAGGCGGCUCUCUGGUCUGUAACUGACGCUGAGGCUCGAAAGCGUGGGGAGCAAACAGGAUUAGAUACCCUGGUAGUCCACGCCGU
rnacentral:rRNA from 1 species